UACGUAGGGGGCGAGCGUUGUCCGGAUUUAUUGGGCGUAAAGAGCUCGUAGGCGGUUCGUCGCGUCGGCUGUGAAAACCUGAGGCUCAACCUCAGGCCUGCAGUCGAUACGGGCGGACUUGAGUACUGCAGGGGAGACUGGAAUUCCUGGUGUAGCGGUGAAAUGCGCAGAUAUCAGGAAGAACACCCGUGGCGAAGGCGGCUCUCUGGGACGGUACUGACGCUGAGACGCGAAAGCGUGGGGAGCGAACAGG
rnacentral:rRNA from 1 species